rnacentral:rRNA from 1 species
UAGUCAUAUGCUUGUCUUAAAGACUAAGCCAUGCAUGUCUAAGUAUAAGCACUUGUACAGCAAAACUGCGAAUGGCUCAUUAAAUCAGUUAUAAUUUAUUUGAUGGUAAUUACCACUUGGAUAACCAUGGUAAAACUAGAGCUAAUACAUGCGUAAAAACCUGACUGGGAACGGAAAGGUUGUAUUUAUUAGAUACAAAACCAAUACCUUGGUGAGGGCAACUUUAUCAGGGUUUUAAUUGGUGAUCCAUAGUAAUUAAACUAAUCAUAGAGUCUUUGUACUGACGAUAGUUCAUUCAAAUAUCUGCCCUAUCAACUUUCGAUGGUAGUAUAGAGGACUACCAUGGUGGUAACGGGUAACGGAGAAUCAGGGUUUGAUUUCGGAGAAGGAGCCUGAGAAACGGCUACUACUUCCAAGGAAGGCAGCAGGCGCACAAAUUACCCAAUCCCAAUACGGGGAGGUAGUGACAAUAAAUAACAAUAUUGGAUUUUAUAAUAAAUCUAAUAAUUGGAAUAAGUACAAUCUAAACCCCUUAACGAGUAUCAAUU